rnacentral:rRNA from 1 species
GUCCACGCCGUAAACGAUGGGUGCUAGGUGUGGGGGGUGUCGACUCCCUCAGUGCCGAAGCUAACGCAUUAAGCACCCCGCCUGGGGAGUACGGCCGCAAGGCUAAAACUCAAAGGAAUUGACGGGGGCCCGCACAAGCAGCGGAGCAUGUGGUUUAAUUCGACGCAACGCGAAGAACCUUACCAAGGCUUGACAUGUGCGGGAAUGUCGUGGAAACACGGCAGCCCUUCGGGGCCCGUUCACAGGUGGUGCAUGGCUGUCGU